AAACACAAAUAAGAAUCAAAUAGCAUAGAACAACGAUC
rnacentral:misc_RNA from 1 species